rnacentral:tRNA from 1 species
GAGUGUGUAGCUCAGUGGUAGAGCGCAUGCUUAGCAUGCAGAAGGUCCUGGGCUCAAUCCCCAGUACCUCCA